GUGCAGGGGCUGCGGGAGUGGAAGCAGAGAGCGCCCACCUGGAACUUGCAGACCCUGCAAAUGAGGCCUUGAGCUGCAUGGAAAGACAGGAGGGGGGGCGCUGCAGUGCCGUGUGUGCGAGGUGGGGAACCCCUACGAGGGCUGCGUGUGGGGCCAGGGGACGUGCACGGCCCCCCCCGGGGGCGUCUGCUGGAGCCACAUCGCCGCCUUCGGCCCCCUCUUCUCGCUGUCCACCCUGGGCUGCGGCCCCCCCGGGGCCCCCCGUGACGCGGCCGGGCUCCUCGACCCCUUCUUCGGCUUCACCUACAACCGCACCUGGUGCAACGACACGGACCUCUGCAACGCGCCCCCCGCCCUGCCCGCCCGCUGGCCCUGGAGCCGCGCCCCCCCCCGCCCUCCCCGCCCCCCCCGCUGCCCUGCUGGGGGCCCUGGCGCUCUGGGCCCUGCACUGAGCCAGAGCCCCCCCACCCCGACUCCCCCAGCACCCUGCCUUCCCAGGCUCACCAGAGACCCGACAACAACAAACCGGCCCCCGAGAGACCCUACAAUAACAAAUCAGCCUCUGAAGCCCCCGAAUGACCCGACAACAACAAACCGGCCCCCGAGAGACCCUACAAUAACAAACCAGCCUCUGAAGCCCCGAAUGACCCGACAAAAACAAACUGGCCUCCAAGAGACCCUACAAUAACAAACGAGCCUCUGAAGCCCCGAAUGACCCGACAACAACAAACCGGCCCCGAGAGACCCUAUAAAAACAAACUAGCCUUUGAAGCCCCUGAAUGACCCUACAAAAACAAACCGUCCCCCGAGAGACCCUACAAUAACAAACCAGCCUCUGAAGCCCCUGAAUGACCCUACAAAAACAAACCGGCCUCCAAGAGACCCUACAAAAACAAACUAGACUUUGAAGCCCCUGAAUGACCCGACAAUAACAAACCGGACCCUGAGAGACCCUACAAUAACAAACAAGCCUUUGAAGCCCCUGAAUGACCCGACAAUAACAAACCGGCCUCCAAGAGACCCUACAAUAACAAAUGAGCCUUUGAAGCCCCUGAAUGACCCGACAAUAACAAACCGGCCUCCAAGAGACCCUACAAUAACAAACCAGCCUUUGAAGCCCCUGAAUGACCCUACAAAAACAAACCGGACCCUGAGAGACCCUGCCAUAACGCAUUGGCCCACUGGGUCUCCAACACCCCCAAGAGAGCCUACAAAGAAACCCUGGCCCCCGUGCAAGCCCAGCACUCAAGAAAGACCCUACGAUAACAAACCAACCUGUGAAGACCCAGAGAGGCCCUAGAACAACAAAACAGUCCACAGAGCCCCAGGGCUUACGAGGGACCCUACAAUAACGAACCAGGCCAGGCCUGUGCUCAAGGACUCUCCCAUAACAAGCUGGCCAGCGCUGACCCGUGCUCAGAAGACCCUACAAUAACAAACCGGCAUGUCGGACGGCCCCGAGAGACCCCCCAGUAACAAACCGGCUCUGCGGCCUUGGGAGGAGCCCGACCUAAGUAAACAAUUGAAUGAGCUGACGUGUCUGGUGCUUUGAAAGGCAAACGGAGCCUGGGGCUGGGUGCCAGGACUCCUGGGUUCUAUCCCCGGUUCUGUGAG